rnacentral:rRNA from 1 species
UGCAGUCGACGGUGAGCAGAGCUUGCUCUGUGGAUCAGUGGCGAACGGGUGAGUAACACGUGAGCAAUCUGCCCCUGACUCUGGGAUAAGCGCUGGAAACGGCGUCUAAUACCGGAUACGAGCUGCGAUCGCAUGGUCAGUAGCUGGAAAGAAUUUCGGUCAGGGAUGAGCUCGCGGCCUAUCAGCUUGUUGGUGAGGUAAUGGCUCACCAAGGCGUCGACGGGUAGCCGGCCUGAGAGGGUGACCGGCCACACUGGGACUGAGACACGGCCCAGACUCCUACGGGAGGCAGCAGUGGGGAAUAUUGCACAAUGGGCGGAAGCCUGAUGCAGCAACGCCGCGUGAGGGAUGACGGCCUUCGGGUUGUAAACCUCUUUUAGCAGGGAAGAAGCGAAAGUGACGGUACCUGCAGAAAAAGCGCCGGCUAACUACGUGCCAGCAGCCGCGGUAAUACGUAGGGCGCAAGCGUUAUCCGGAAUUAUUGGGCGUAAAGAGCUCGUAGGCGGUCUGUCGCGUCUGCUGUGAAAACCCGAGGCUCAACCUCGGGCCUGCAGUGGGUACGGGCAGACUAGAGUGCGGUAGGGGAGAUUGAAUUCCUGGUGUAGCGGUGGAAUGCGCAGAUAUCAGAGGAACACCGAUGGCGAAGGCACAUCUCUGGGCCGUAACUGACGCUGAGAGCGAAAGGGUUGGGGAGCAAAC